UGGAUAAGGCAUGCAAGUCGAGCGAUCCCCGCAAGGGGAUAGCGGCUAACGGGUGCGUAACGCGUAGGGAAUCUGCCCAACAGACCGGGACACCUUGGCGAAAGCCAGGCUAAUACCGGAUAUGCCCACAUGGUCAUAUGGCCGAGUGGGGAAAGUGGGCCUCGACCGAAAGGUUGCUCAUGUUGUUGGAGGACCCUGCGUCCCAUCAGCUAGUUGGUAGGGUAACGGCCUACCAAGGCUAUUGACGGGUAGCUGGCCUGAGAGGGUGGUCAGCCACACUGGGACUGAGACACUGCCCAGACUCCUACGGGAGGCUGCAGUCGAGAAUCUUUGGCAAUGGACGCAAGUCUGACCAUGCGACGCCGCGUGCGGGAUGAAGGCUUUCGGGUCGUAAACCGC
rnacentral:rRNA from 1 species